GAUGAACGCUGGCGGCGUGCCUAAUACAUGCAAGUCGAGCGAAUGGAUUAAGAGCUUGCUCUUAUGAAGUUAGCGGCGGACGGGUGAGUAACACGUGGGUAACCUGCCCAUAAGACUGGGAUAACUCCGGGAAACCGGGGCUAAUACCGGAUAACAUUUUGAACCGCAUGGUUCGAAAUUGAAAGGCAGCUUCGGCUGGCACUUAUGGAUGGACCCGGGUCGCAUUAGCUAGUUGGUGAGGUAACGGAUAACCAAGGCAACGAUGCGUAGCCGACCUGAGAGGGUGAUCGGCCACACUGGGACUGAGACACAGCCCAGACUCCUACGGGAGGCAGCAGUAGGGAAUCUUCCGCAAUGGACGAAAGUCUGACGGAGCAACGCCGCGUGAGUGAUGAAGGCUUUCGGGUCGUAAAACUCUGUUGUUAGGGAAGAACAAGUGCUAGUUGAAUAAGCUGGCACCUUGACGGUACCUAACCAGAAAGCCACGGCUAACUACGUGCCAGCCGCCGCAGUAA
rnacentral:rRNA from 1 species